AGUCGUAACAAGGUAUCCGUAGGUGAACCUGCGGAUGGAUCAUUACUGAAGGUUAUUUCUACCUGACGUGUUGUGAACUGUAUUGAAUUAUUAGGAGGGGGUUUCUACAAGGGUAACCGAGUGGAAAAGUACCUAGGAGUGAAAGCCAGUCAGAGUCGAAACCGGUCAUAGUACUAUGACCGGUCGUAAGCUAUGACCGGUCAUAGCGACUUGGUCCCCCCAACUUACCAAAACGCCAUUUGUCCUUACUGAAAUAUCAUACUAUUAAAACUAUGAUAACUUUUAGCAACGGAUCUCUUGGCUCUC
rnacentral:misc_RNA from 1 species